rnacentral:rRNA from 1 species
GUUGCAGUUAAAGCUCCGUAGUUGACCUUGGGCCCGUCCUGCCGGUCCGCCUCACCGCGAGUACUGGUCCGGAUGGGCCUUUCUUUCUGGGGAAUCCCAUGGCCUUCACUGGCUGUGGCGGGAAACCAGGACUUUUACUGUGAAAAAAUUAAAGUGUUCAAAGCAGGCCUUUGCUCGGAUACUUUACCAUGGAAUAAUAAAAUAGGAUGUGGGGUUCUAUUUUGUUGGUUUCUAGGACCGCCGUAAUGAUUAAUAGGGAUAGUCGGGGGCGUCAGUAUUCACCUGUCAAAGGUGAAAUUCUUGAAUUUGCUGAAAACUAACUACGGCAAAAGCAUUCCCCAAGGAUGUUUUCAUUAAUCAGGGAACAAAAGUUAGGGAAUCAAAAACAAUCAAAUACCGUCGUAUUCUUAACCAUAAACUAUGCCAACAAGGGAUCGGGCGGGGUUUCUAUGAUGACCCGCUCGGCCCCUUACAAAAAAUCAAAUUUUUUGGUUUCGGGGGGGGGUAUGGUCGCAGGGCUAAAACUUAAAAAAUUUGACGGAGGGGCCCCACAGGGCGUGGACCCUGCGGUUUAUUUUGACUCAACACGGGAAAACUCCCCGGGCCCAAACAAAAUAGGGAUUGACAGAUUGAGAGCUCUUUCUUGAUCUUUUGUAGGGGGGUGCAUGCCCGUUCUUAUUUGGGGGAAGUGAUUUGUCUGCUUAAUUGCGAUAACGACACGAGACCUCGGCCCUUAAUAUAGCCCGGUCCCGCGUUCGCGGCCCGCUGGCUUCUUAGGGGACUAUCGGGCUCAGCCCAAUGGAGUACGUGCAAUAACGGUCUGUGAUGCCCUUAAAUGUUCUGGGCCCGCACGCGCGUCUACACUGAC